AGAGACAGCAGCUGCGGAGAAAGGACAGCCUGCCAGAAAGUGAGGCUACUUUCCUUCCACCCUCUAAUCUUCUGCUAUUCGCUCCACUUGCUGAACUCAGCUGGAAUCCAGUGGCCAAGGGAGCCUGCUGAUGCAAUCCCUACAAGGGCAGCUCUUGGGGCACGGAUCAGGGGUGAAAUGGAGACAAGAUCUGGAUGGGCAAAGGAAGGAGAUCCAGCUCACGUUUCAAGGCCAACUCCUCCCCAAGUGCACGACAAUCCCUCCCAUUGAAGGCGCCAAGAAGGAACUCACUGUCAUCGCCGAGACCAGAGUCAGCGGGUGAAGGCAGCGACCAGUUCUGGAACCACAUUCAGUCCCACACCCAAGAAGCUGAGCGAAACUCUUCCUCCUCCACGAGGCCUCUCCCAGCCCUUCAGUUCAUGAUGCCUUGGUGAGAGAGAGUCUUGCUCAGUAACCCAGGCUGGAGUGCAGUGGCGCGAUCUCAGCUGACUGCAAGUUCCACCUCCCGGGUUCACGCCAUUCUCCUGCCUCAGCUUCCCGAGUACCUGGGACUACAGGCGCCUGCCACCACGCCCGGCCAAUUUUUUUGUAUUUUUAGUAGAGAUGGGGUUUCACCAUGUUAUCCAGGAUGGUCUCAAUCUCCUGACCUCAUGAUCCUCUCGCCUCGGCCUCCCAAAGUACUGGGAUUAUAGGCACAAGCCACUGCAACCGGCCACUCUGACUUUCUUUAUGCAGUCCUUCAGGUUGCCCUUCUUCUUCUUCUUCUUUUUUUUUUUUUUUUUUUUUUGAGAUGGAGUCUCGCUUUGUUGCCCAGGCUGGAGUGCCGUGGCACGAUCUUGGUGCACUGCAACCUCCGCCUCCCAGGUUCAAGCAAUUCUCCUGCCUUAGCCUCCCGAGUAGCUGAGACUACAGGUGCGUGCCACCAUGCCUGGCCAAUCUUUUUAUUUUUUAGUAGAGAUGGGCCAGGCUGGUCUCAAACUCCUGACCUCAAUGCUGGGAUUACAGCUGUGAGCCACCACACCCGGCCUCAGUUGCCCUUCUCUCUUCUCCCCAGAACAACAAACAUGCUGAAUUUUAUUACUCCCUUUAUUUUCACUGUGGUUUUAAUACAUAUGUACAUGUCCCCAAAUAACAUGCUUAGCUUUAUUUCUGAACUUCAUAAAAAUAUAUUUAUGUUAUAUGGAGUCUGCAACUUCCCUACCCUGAAGUCACGAACAUGUUUUUCUAUAUUUUCCUCCCUGCUCCUCCAGUGUUCUCUGCCUUGGCACUCCUAGGUAUGACCUAAGCUAUUUUAAUUUGUAUUUAAGGAUAUAUUCUUUGCCAAAUGUUAUAGAGUUUACCAAAUAGCUCCUUGUCGAUCUCUUUCAGCACAUAAUCCCCACUCCUUUCUUUUUCUAACAAUCUGGAAGGCUCUACAAUGAUGGCACCCAUGUUUGACAAAGGGUUUCCGGGCACUUCUGAACAGCCUGGGAAUGUAUUAAUAGUUGGGAACUGAGAUCAAUAUGUCUUAGAUGUUUCAUGGCCUAAGGGACAACAGCACGGUAUUGUGAUGAGGCGAAGAACAGGCUUUGGAGUCAGGCAUUCCUAGGGUUGAAUCCCUCGUGUCAAUCAGCUGUUGACACAAGACUGUUGCAAACAAAUGACUGAACACUCAGUGGCUUAAAACAACGGAUAUUUCAUCCUGCAUUUGCAGUCCUGCAAGGCUGACUGUGGUUCUGUGAUCUACAAUGGACUCAAUGUGCAGCUUAGCUUGAGUAUGCCUAUUGACGGAGCUUGGAUCCCAAGCCAUGGGUUGGUAUCAGUUAUCUACUGCUGUAUAACUACCCCAAAACUUAGUACCUUAAACAACAA